rnacentral:rRNA from 1 species
AGUCACUGACAUUAGAAUACCCGUGUAGUCCAGGGUGUAAACGCUGCAGACUUGGUGUUGGAGGCCCUUUGGGGGCAUUCAGUGCCGGAGAGAAGUUGUUAAGUCUGCUACUUGGGGAGUACGUCCGCAAGGAUGAAACUUAAAGGAAUUGGCGGGGGAGCACCGCAACGGGAGGAGCGUGCGGUUUAAUUGGAUUCAACACCGUAAACUCACCAGGGAAGACUGUUACAUGAAGGCCGAGAUGAAGACUCUGCUAGAUUUUCAG